rnacentral:ncRNA from 2 species
CAACUGGUUGCGGGAGAGAGCAGCGCACGGCUGCCGCCGAAGGGGAAUACGCCUAAAAUCUCUCAGGCAAAAGAACCGUAAGCAGGGC